rnacentral:misc_RNA from 1 species
AUGUAUUUAGUCAGGUCAGAAAUUGUAACGAGUUAUAUUCUAUACUGUAUAGUUUCUAAAUUAUGAAUUUUUAAGGUACCAAUGGAACUCCAACAGCUGACAACUUUGGUUUUGAAGAGUGUCCUUUCCCUGCAGAGCUAGAAGCAGGGGAGAUCCUAAUCAAAACUCUAUAUGUGUCUGUAGACCCAGCCCUGGUAAAUCAAAGAAUUUACCAACCAUUCAAAGAAAUAUAUAUGGAUUACUUGAUGCUUGAGCUAGAGAAAUGACAAUAUGGACACAAUUUUUAAUUUGAUUUUGUAGAGGUGUAGAAUGAAUGAAGACACAGGUGUACAUUAUGUGACUCCAUGGGAGAUCGGUAAAGAAAUUGGGGGAUUUAUUGGGGUAGGGCAAGUCAUCAAGAGUUCAGAUCCAGCAUUUUCCCCAGGGGACAUUGUGGAGGCUCAGGCUGCAUGGCCCUGGGUUGCACUUUUCAAACGCAAACAAGAGGAACAAAAUCCACUCAGAAAGGUAGAUACUUCUUUGCUUGGAGGAAAACUGACACUACCCCUCACAGUUCUUGGCUUGAUUGGACUCACCUCGUACUUAGGUAUCAAAGAAAAGGGUGGCAUUAAACCGGGUCAGAACCAAACCCUCGUGGUCAGUGGGGCAGCAGGUGCCUGUGGCUCUGUAGCUGGACAGCUAGGGAGACUUGAAGGCUGUACAAGAGUGGUUGGAAUUUGUGGUUCAAAUGAGAAAUGUCAAUUCCUGACACAGGAGCUAGGUUUUGAUGGAGCCAUCAACUACAAGACUGAAGAUGUUAAAGAAAGGCUGGCAGCACUGUGUCCAGACGGAGUUGAUGUCUAUUUUGAUAACGUUGGAGGGGAGAUGAGUGAUACUGUAAUAAGUCAGAUGAACAAGAAUUCAAAUGUGAUACUAUGUGGUCAAAUAGCUGUAUAUAACAAAGAUGUACCUUAUCCACCUCCAAUACCAGAGAGCACCGAAACCAGAAUAAAGGAUAUGAAUAUAAAUAGGACAAGAUUUUUAGUGUUGAAUUAUGCAGAUAAGUUUGAGGAAGCAAUGAAGAAGCUUGCUGAAUUAGUUUUAUCUGGAAAAAUAAAGGUAAGGGAAACAACUAUGGAGGGCUUAGAAAAUACAGGAAAAGCUUUUGUGUCCAUGAUGAAUGGAGGAAACAUUGGUAAGCAGAUUGUCCAUGUGGCUGAUCCCUCCUAAAAGUGUGCAUCUCUCCAGCCAUGACACUGGGGACACACCACUUAGUAUCAUGCAGGGCAUGUUAUAGUUUACUUGGAUGACUGAUGAUCAACUUCAUACCUCAUAAAUGACAAUCAUUGUGAUGUGAUACAUAAACAUACAUUGCUAAGCAUUAUUUUUUUUGGACGUCAAGUAAUUGUUCAAAUGUUUUAUAAUACAAAAAUAAAUUCUUUAAAAU